rnacentral:rRNA from 1 species
GUCUACGGCCAUACCACCCUUAACAUGACCGAUCUUGUCUGAUCUUGGAAGCUAAGCAGGGUUGGGUCUGGUUAGUACCUGAAUGGGAGACA